CAGCCGCGGGAAUACAGAGGGUGCAAGCGUUAAUCGGAAUUACUGGGCGUAAAGCGCGCGUAGGUGGUUUGUUAAGUUGGAUGUGAAAUCCCCGGGCUCAACCUGGGAACUGCAUCCAAAACUGGCAAGCUAGAGUAUGGUAGAGGGUGGUGGAAUUUCCUGUGUAGCGGUGAAAUGCGUAGAUAUAGGAAGGAACACCAGUGGCGAAGGCGACCACCUGGACUGAUACUGACACUGAGGUGCGAAAGCGUGGGGAGCAAACAGGAUUAGAUACCCCCGUAGUCCCUGUCUCUUAUACACU
rnacentral:rRNA from 1 species